rnacentral:rRNA from 1 species
UACGUAGGGGGCAAGCGUUGUCCGGAUUUAUUGGGCGUAAAGAGCGUGUAGGCGGCCAGGUAGGUCUGCUGUGAAAACUCGAGGCUUAACCUCGAGCUGUCGGCGGAAACCAUCUGGCUAGAGUCCGGAAGAGGAGAAUGGAAUUCCCGGUGUAGCGGUGAAAUGCUUAGAUAUGACAUAGAACACCAAUUGCGAAGGCAGCUUACUACAGGGACAUUGACACUGAGGCACGAAAGCGUGGGGAUCAAACAGG